UGCAAGUCGAGCGGACCGAACGGAAGCUUGCUUCUGUUCGGUUAGCGGCGGACGGGUGAGUAACACGUGGGUAACCUGCCCGUAAGACCGGGAUAACUCCGGGAAACCGGGGCUAAUACCGGAUAACACCGAAGACCGCAUGGUCUUUGGUUGAAAGGUGGCUUUUGCUACCACUUACGGAUGGGCCCGCGGCGCAUUAGCUAGUUGGUGAGGUAACGGCUCACCAAGGCGACGAUGCGUAGCCGGCCUGAGAGGGUGACCGGCCACACUGGGACUGAGACACGGCCCAGACUCCUACGGGAGGCAGCAGUAGGGAAUCUUCCGCAAUGGACGAAAGUCUGACGGAGCGACGCCGCGUGAGCGAAGAAGGUCUUCGGAUCGUAAAGCUCUGUUGUUAGGGAAGAAGAAGUACCGUUCGAAUAGGGCGGUACGGUGACGGUACCUAACGAGAAAGCCCCGGCUAACUACGUGCCAGCAGCCGCGGUAAUACGUAGGGGGCGAGCGUUGUCCGGAAUUAUUGGGCGUAAAGCGCGCGCAGGCGGUCCCUUAAGUCUGAUGUGAAAGCCCACGGCUCAACCGUGGAGGGUCAUUGGAAACUGGGGGACUUGAGUGCAGAAGAGGAGAGCGGAAUUCCACGUGUAGCGGUGAAAUGCGUAGAGAUGUGGAGGAACACCAGUGGCGAAGGCGGCUCUCUGGUCUGUAACUGACGCUGAGGCGCGAAAGCGUGGGGAGCAAACAGGAUUAGAUACCCUGGUAGUCCACGCCGUAAACGAUGAGUGCUAAGUGUUAGAGGGGUUUUCCCUUUAGUGCUGUAGCUAACGCGUUAAGCACUCCGCCCGGGGAGUACGGCCGCAAGGCUGAAACUCAAAGGAAUUGACGGGGGCCCGCACAAACCGUGGAGCAUGUGGUUU
rnacentral:rRNA from 1 species